rnacentral:rRNA from 1 species
CAGGGCUUAAAUGCAGGCUGCAUGGGGUAGAGAUACCCCUUUCUUCGGACUGCCUGCAAGGUGCUGCAUGGUUGUCGUCAGCUCGUGCCGUGAGGUGUCAGGUUAAGUCCUAUAACGAGCGCAACCCCUACCGUUAGUUGCCAGCAUGUCAAGAUGGGGACUCUAACGGGACUGCCGGUGCAAACCGUGAGGAAGGUGGGGACGACGUCAAAUCAUCACGGCCCUUACGUCCUGGGCCACACACGUGCUACAAUGGCCGGUACAGAGGGAAGCCACCCCGCAAGGGGGCGCGGAUCUAUAAAACCGGUCACAGUUCGGAUCGGGGUCUGCAACUCGACCCCGUGAAGCUGGAAUCGCUAGUAAUCGGAUAUCAGCCAUGAUCCGGUGAAUACGUUCCCG